GACGAACGCUGGCGGCGUGCUUAACACAUGCAAGUCGAACGGAAAGGCCCCUUUGGGGGUCCUCGAGUGGCGAACGGGUGAGUAACACGUGAGUAACCUGCCCUUGGCUUCGGGAUAACUUCAGGAAACUGGGGCUAAUACCGGAUAGGAAUCCUUGCUGCAUGGUGGGGGUUGGAAAGCUUCGGCGGUUUUGGAUGGACUCGCGGCUUAUCAGCUUGUUGGUGGGGUAGUGGCUUACCAAGGCUUUGACGGGUAGCCGGCCUGAGAGGACGACCGGCCACAUUGGGACUGAGAUACGGCCCAGACUCCUACGGGAGGCAGCAGUGGGGAAUAUUGCACAAUGGGCGGAAGCCUGAUGCAGCAACGCCGCGUGCGGGAUGACGGCCUUCGGGUUGUAAACCGCUUUCAGCAGGGGCGAAGCUUGUGGUGACGGUACCUGCAGAAGAAGCACCGGCUAACUACGUG
rnacentral:rRNA from 1 species